UACGGAGGGAGCUAGCGUUGUUCGGAAUUACUGGGCGUAAAGCGCACGUAGGCGGCUUUGUAAGUUAGAGGUGAAAAGCCUGGAGCUCAACUCCAGAAUUGCCUUUAAGACUGCAUCGCUUGAAUCAUGGAGAGGCGGGUGGAAUUCCGAGUGUAGAGGUGAAAAUUCGUUAGAUAUUCGGAAGAACACCAGUGGCGAAAGG
rnacentral:rRNA from 1 species